UUUUUUUUUUUUUUUUUUUUUUGAUGUGGCUGACAGAGGUCUGGACUCACAAGCUAUCCACUUCUCCCCAGCUGGGGUCCAUGAUUUUCAAGAGUGUUUCUCCCCUCCCCUUUAAACAUAAACAUUGAACUCACUUUUACAUUUUGUCAAAAGGUUAAUCCUGAAGCAGAAGAGAGAUGUGGUGAGAUGUUUCUGCUGAAGGCUGGGUAUGGCAGGCAGCAAAGGCACCAUUUUUCUGCAAACCCGCAUGAGUACCAGGGGGUCAGCACGCAGCAUGAUCAGGGGUGUGUGACCCCUGCUAUGUGGAAAUGUGGAAGUGCCAGCUGCUGCUCACAGACCUAGGGUGUGGGUCAACUCUUGGGGCUACUGUGAUGAGUUAUGCACCAAAUGGACACACCUGAGAGCCAGGACAUCAUCCAGAGGGACCUGAAUGAGCUUGAGGAGAGGGCCCAUGUGAAACUGAUAAGAGAAAACCAGGGCAAGUACAAGACUGAACCUGGGUCAGGGCAGCCCCUGGUGUCAAUACAGGCUGGGGGAUGAACAGAUUGAGGGCAGCCCUGCUGCGGAGAAUGUGCUGGUGCUGGUGGAUGAAGAGCUGGAUGUGAGCCAUGUGUGUGCACUCACAGCCCAGAAAGCCAGCCAUGUCCUGGGCUGCAUCCAAAGAACCCUGGCCAGCAGGCCAGGGGAGGUGAUUGUGCCCCUCUACUGCAGUCUUGUGGGACCCCACCUCUAGUGCAUCCAGCUGUGGGGUCAUCUGCACAAAAACCCCAUGGAUUUGUUGUAGCAAGUCAAGAGGAGGCUUGAACACCUUUCCUAUGAGGAAGGGCUGGAGAGUUGAGGUUGUUUGGCUUGGACAAGACAAGACUCCAGGGAGAACUCAUUGCAGCCUUACAGUACCUAAAGGAAGCUUAUAAGGAAGAUGGGGACAGACUUUUUAGCAUGGUCUGUUGUGAUAGGACUAGAGUAAUGAUUUUAAAAUAAAAGACAGUUGAUUUAGACCAAAUAUAAGGGAGAUUUUUUUUGUUUUCUUUUUUUGGUAAUGCAAGUGGUGAGGCAUUGGAGCAGGUUGCCCAGAGAAGUUAUGGAUGACCCAUCCCUGGAAAUAUUCAAGGCCAGACUGGAUGGGGCUCUGAGCAACCUGGCCUGGCUGAAGAUUUCCCUGAACAUUGCAGGAGGGUUCGGAGUAGAUGGCCUUUAAAGCUCACUUCGAACACAAAAUGUUCUGUGAUUCUAUGAAAUGACAAAUGUCAUUGCCUGAUUAAUGCCUGUGACCUUCUCAUGAGAUUGCUUGUGUGGAAAAGCUUGUUGAAACUGUAUUUUGAUAACUUCUCUCCUGUACAAAACCGUGGACUUCAUUGGUAAAACCUGGUACUUCCUAUCAAAGCCUAGUUAGUCCUGCAGUGAAUUUAAUAACAUUAAUGCAGCUUGCCUAAAAAAACCCAUUAAUUUUCAUUUCUUUCUCUGACUGGCUGGCCUUGCUAGCAUGGUGAACAAUGUGGUAGAAGGAGCACUGCCUAAUUGUCUUAUUCCAAGAGAACCUGUUCACCUUCUCUUAUACUUAGAUAAGGAAAGUUUUUGGUACAGACUGUACUGAACUCUUGAUGCGAAAUAACUGCUCAGCUAAAGGAUGACAGUGGAGACUGAAAAGCAAGAGCUGGGUGCCAAAUGAAAGCCUUGAGGUGAGGAUUAGUGUGUGUGACUCAUGGCAAUAAAUCCAGCCCAGUGUUCA